UUAGUGAGAGUGUCUGAGUGAUUUUGCUCGUUUAAGUGAGAGUGUCUAUGUUUUUGAAAGCAUGUUUGAAAUUAUAAGAUUUUGCUCGUUUAACAAUCACUCUCCUCCUUCCCACCCAAACCCUCAAACCCCAAACCCUCACUCUACCGGAGACGAUCUCUUCUCAUCGACGGCAGAAAAACCUCACUCAUUGGUGACCUCUCACUCAAACACUCUCCUCCUUCAGACCCUCACUCUACCGGAGAUGAGCUCCUUUCAUCGGUGGCCAGAAAACCCUCACUCUGUCUCUUACUCAGAAGCUGGAGAGACUUCAAGAAGAGGAUUUAGUAGAGAAGCCAUUUCAAAGGAAACAGAUGAAAAUUAGGUUCCCUGAGCAUGGAAGAAGCGGAAGAUCUGUUGUAACAAUUAAUAACUUCAAAUUUGCUUUGGAGAUAAGGUGAAUUGACAUACUUAAUCAAACUAGGAUGAGGGUUCUAGAAACAUUGAACUGUCUAUUUCUGAUUUUUUAUGUUUUAUGAAAUUGAUAAGUUGUGUGGCUGGUGCUCUUCAACAAGGCAAAUCUUACUAUUGAAAGGGGAGAUAAAAUUGCCAUAAAUGGCUCAAGUGGAUGUGGAAAGAGCACUUUGCUGAAAAUGAUAAUGGGUUUAGAGAAGCCAAGAGGGGGGGAAGUUUUGCUUGGGGAGCAUAAUGUCCUACCAAACUAUUUUGAGCAGAAUCAGGCUGAGGCACUUGAUUUGAAUAAAACAGUGCUUGAGACAGUAGUAGAAGCUGCAGAGGACUGGAGGAGUGAUGACAUAAAGGGACUCCUUGGUUGUUGUAAUUUUAAAGCUGAUAUGCUUGAAAGAAAAGUUUCUCUGUUGAGUGGUGGUGAGAAGGUCAUGGGUUGCGGCUAAAUGGGUUCGGGUCAAAUUCGGGUUGACACAACUGACCUGUUUAUUAAACGGGUCGUGUUUGUGUUCAACCUAUUGAACUUGUUUGACAUGAUUAGCUUAUAAAGGUAAUUUUACAAUUUUACCCUUAAAACCUAGGUAUAUAAACUUAGCUAUGGUUUAUUCUCCUGCUCAAAACCAGACCUCAUGCCUCUCUGGACCUUGUGUCUCUUCAUUUUCAUCAACAGUCAAUACUCUGUCUCCUCCAACUCUUCUUCUUCUCCUCAAAACUCUAGCCGAUCCUACAGAUAUAGAUUCUACAAUCUACACUAUAAAAUCAAAACCCUAACCGCCUCAUGUCUCUCAACCCUCUACUCUCUCUUCCCCUCAAAUCCCUAGCCAACCCCUCUAAUAUCUCUUCCCCUCAAAACCGUGGCUGCCCUCUCUACUCUCUAUUCUCCUUCACGACUUCACAGCUUCAUCAGUUAUUUUGUCUUCAGCUUUCAACCACCGAAUCCCCUAGCAAGGUAUGCAUGUUAUAUAUUUUUGUUUUGUUUUCUUACUUAUGAAAUUUUCAGUAAUUGUAGAUUUUGUUUAUUGUGUUAACAGUUAAUCAUUAUCAGUUUGUAUUCUUUAUGCACAAAGGCUGGGAAAGAGUCUUCAGAAAUAAAAACUUGAAGUUUGGUGCAGUGGACUCUCUGACCUUGAAAAUGCAGCAAUUCCUUUCACCACAAAUGCACAAAGGCUGGGAAAGCUAAGAACUUUCACAAUCUAAGUUGGAAGAGCUCACUGAAGAUAUAAUGAACAUGAAUAUCAAUGAGGAUGAGCACAUGGAAGACACCUCUUCAAUGGGACCCUCAAUCUCUUCUAAUCCAAUUUCUUAAUCAGUGAUUUCCUUUCCUUUUUGAUGUGGCACUUGGAUGGUUGGACUUGGAUUUUGCCAUCAUGGAAAUAUUGAUCUGCCAUGUAAUUAUUUUGGUUUGUCUUUUAGUUUUUGAUAUGGUACUUGGAUGCCAUGUAAUAAUCUUGGUUUUUUAUUAUGGAACUUUGACAUAUUAUUGAAUUUGAUAGUAUGGAGGUUGGAACCUUUUGGACUUGUAAUUUUAUUUUGAAGGAAUGAAAGAAUUAUUUGCUAUUGUUAUUA